rnacentral:misc_RNA from 1 species
GAAAUGCGAUAAGUAAUGUGAAUUGCAGAAUUCAGUGAAUCAUCGAAUCUUUGAACGCACCUUGCGCUCCUUGGUAUUCCUUGGAGCAUGCCUGUUUGAGUAUCAUGAAAUCUUCAAAGUAAAUCUUUUGUUAACUCAAUUGGUUUCUACUUUGGUAUUGGAGGUCUUUGCAGCUUCACACCUGCUCCUCUUUGUUCAUUAGCUGGAUCUCAGUGUUAUGCUUGGUUCCACUCGGCGUGAUAAGUUAUCUAUCGCUAAGGACACUGUAAAAGGUGGCCAAGGUAAAUGCAGAUGAACCGCUUCUAAUAGUCCAUUGACUUGGACAAUACUUUUAUGAUCUGAUCUCAAAUCAGGUAGGACUACCCGCCGAACUUAAGC